UAGGGAAUCUUCCGCAAUGGGCGAAAGCCUGACGGAGCAACGCCGCGUGAGUGAUGAAGGUCUUCGGAUCGUAAAACUCUGUUAUUAGGGAAGAACAAAUGUGUAAGUAACUAUGCACGUCUUGACGGUACCUAAUCAGAAAGCCACGGCUAACUACGUGCCAGCAGCCGCGGUAAUACGUAGGUGGCAAGCGUUAUCCGGAAUUAUUGGGCGUAAAGCGCGCGUAGGCGGUUUUUUAAAUCUGAUGUGAAAGCCCACGGCUCAACCGUGGAGGGUCAUUGGAAACUGGAAAACUUGAGUGCAGAAGAGGAAAGUGGAAUUCCAUGUGUAGCAGUGAAAUGCGCAGAGAUAUGGAGGAACACCAGUGGCGAAGGCGACUUUCUGGUCUGUAACUGACGCUGAUGUGCGAAAGCGUGGGGAUCAAACAGG
rnacentral:rRNA from 1 species